rnacentral:rRNA from 1 species
GACGAACGCUGGCGGCGUGCUUAACACAUGCAAGUCGAACGGAAAGGCCCUGCUUUUGUGGGGUGCUCGAGUGGCGAACGGGUGAGUAACACGUGAGUAACCUGCCCUUGACUUUGGGAUAACUUCAGGAAACUGGGGCUAAUACCGGAUAGGAGCUCCUGCUGCAUGGUGGGGGUUGGAAAGUUUCGGCGGUUGGGGAUGGACUCGCGGCUUAUCAGCUUGUUGGUGGGGUAGUGGCUUACCAAGGCUUUGACGGGUAGCCGGCCUGAGAGGGUGACCGGCCACAUUGGGACUGCGAUACGGCCCAGACUCCUACGGGAGGCAGCAGUGGGGAAUCUUGCACAAUGGGCGGAAGCCUGAUGCAGCAACGCCGCGUGCGGGAUGACGGCCUUCGGGUUGUAAACCGCUUUCGCCUGUGACGAAGCGUGAGUGACGGUAAUGGGUAAAGAAGCACCGGCUAACUACGU